rnacentral:rRNA from 1 species
AGCAGCCGCGGUAAUUCCAGCUCCAAUAGCGUAUAUUAAAGUUGUUGCAGUUAAAAAGCUCGUAGUUGAAUUUCGGGAUCAUCAGGUUGGUCGUGCCUCUGGUAUGUACUGGUCUCGGUGGUUCCUACUUCUUGAAGAACCGUAAUGCCAUUAAUUUGGUGUUGCGGGGAAACAGGACUGUUACUUUGAAAAAUUAGAGUGUUUAAAGCAGGCAAUCGCUUGAAUACAUUAGCAUGGAAUAAUGAAAUAGGACGUUCGAUCCUAUUUUGUUGGUUUCUAGGAUUGACGUAAUGAUUAAUAGGGAUAGUUGGGGGCAUUAGUAUUCAAUUGUCAGAGGUGAAAUUCUUGGAUUUAUUGAAGACUGACUACUGCGAAAGCAUUUGCCAAGGAUGUUUUCAUUAAUCAAGAACGAAAGUUAGGGGAUCGAAGACGAUCAGAUACCGUCGUAGUCUUAACCAUAAACUAUGCCGA